UAUUAUACACCAGACCGUGUCUUAGAGC
rnacentral:sRNA from 1 species